GAUCCUGGCUCAGGAUUAACGCUGGCGGCAUGCCUAAUACAUGCAAGUCGAACGAAAGUAGCAAUACUUUAGUGGCGAACGGGUGAGUAACACGUAGGAAACCUACCUCAAAGACGAGGAUAACUACUGGAAACGGUAGCUAAAACUGGAUAGGAUAUACGAAGGCAUCUUUGUAUAUUUUAAAAAGUCCUUCUGGGAAUGCUAUGAGAUGGUCCUGCGGCGCAUUAGCUAGUUGGUGAGGUAAAGGCCCACCAAGG
rnacentral:rRNA from 1 species